CAUGUGCGGGCUGGAUCCCUCCUUUCAUGCUAGUCGAGCGGAUGACGGGAGCUUGCUCCUUGAUUCAGCGGCGGACGGGUGAGUAAUGCCUAGGAAUCUGCCUGGUAGUGGGGGACAACGUUUCGAAAGGAACGCUAAUACCGCAUACGUCCUACGGGAGAAAGCAGGGGACCUUCGGGCCUUGCGCUAUCAGAUGAGCCUAGGUCGGAUUAGCUAGUUGGUGAGGUAAUGGCUCACCAAGGCGACGAUCCGUAACUGGUCUGAGAGGAUGAUCAGUCACACUGGAACUGAGACACGGUCCAGACUCCUACGGGAGGCAGCAGUGGGGAAUAUUGGACAAUGGGCGAAAGCCUGAUCCAGCCAUGCCGCGUGUGUGAAGAAGGUCUUCGGAUUGUAAAGCACUUUAAGUUGGGAGGAAGGGCAGUAAGCUAAUACCUUGCUGUUUUGACGUUACCGACAGAAUAAGCACCGGCUAACUCUGUGCCAGCAGCCGCGGUAAUACAGAGGGUGCAAGCGUUAAUCGGAAUUACUGGGCGUAAAGCGCGCGUAGGUGGUUCGUUAAGUUGGAUGUGAAAGCCCCGGGCUCAACCUGGGAACUGCAUCCAAAACUGGCGAGCUAGAGU
rnacentral:rRNA from 1 species